rnacentral:rRNA from 1 species
CUGUUAAGACUAAGCCAUGCACGUCUAAGUACAAACUAAAUGAUGGUGAAACUGCAAAUGGCUCAUUACAACGGUUAUGAUGUACCCGGGAGUUCCGAUGGAUAUUUCCAGUAACACUAGAACUAAUACAUGUCCCUGCGUUUAUUAGUUUCGCACAGUCCGUCGCUGAGUCAUGGUAAACAGUUGAUCGACUCGACGUCCCGGAACAGUUUCCGCCCCAUCAGCUUCGAUGGUUGGGUAUUGGCCUACCAUUGCAACAACGGGUAACGAGGAAUUAGGGUUUGAUUUCGGAGAGGGAGCCUGAGAAACGGCUACCACAUCUACGGAUGGCAGCAGGCGCGCAAAUUACCCAAUGCAGACACUGUGAGGUAGUGACGAGAAAUAAUAAAGCGGGACUUCUGUUUCGCUAUUAUAAUGAGGAAUAACCAAAGGUCAUUCCGAUUAGCAACUGAUGGGAAAGUCUGGUGCCAGCAGCCGCGGUAAUACCAGCGUCAGUAGCA